rnacentral:rRNA from 1 species
GACGAACGCUGGCGGCGUGCUUAACACAUGCAAGUCGAACGGAAAGUCCCUGCUUUUGUGGGGUGCUCGAGUGGCGAACGGGUGAGUAACACGUGAGUAACCUGCCCUUGACUUUGGGAUAACUUCAUGAAACUGGGGCUAAUACCGGAUAGGAGCUCCUGCUGCAUGGUGGGGGUUGGAAAGUUUCGGCGGUUGGGGAUGGACUCGCGGCUUAUCAGCUUGUUGGUGGGGUAGUGGCUUACCAAGGCUUUGACGGGUAGCCGGCCUGAGAGGGUGACCGGACACAUUGGGACUGAGCUACGGCCCAGACUACUACGGGAGGCAGCAGUGGGGAAUAUUGCACAAUGGGCGGAAGCCUGAUGCAGCACAGCCGCGUGCGGGAUGACGGCCUUCGGGUUGUAAACCGCUUUCGCCUGUGACGAAGCGUGAGUGACGGUAAUGGGUAAAGAAGCACCGGCUAACUACGUG